ACUCUGCCUCGUGCAGAGAGUGGGAGGCCGGGAAGUUGUUCAAACUUGAUCAUUUAGAGGAAGUAAAAGUCGUAACAAGGUUUCCGUAGGUGAACCUGCGGAAGGAUCAUUACCGAGUAGCUACCUACCUCCGCUGGCCGCGAGUCAGUGAAUGAGUGGGGUGUUUACUACCGUGUGAACCGACUGAAAAAUUUUUUAGGGGUCGGCUCGUUCCGUUAAAAGGGGAGCACCGUGAUGAGCCACCAGCUGGUGAGCCUCGCGGUGGGCUCCUGCCCCGACAGUGUUUUUUAAAGGACACAUUUGAUGUAAAAGACUGAGCGCAGUGAGAGAGAUAUGUUCUAGCAUAGAAAAAUAAAAGUGUGACAACUUUUGACGGUGGAUCUCUAGGCUCACGCAUCGAUGAAGAACGCAGCCAGCUGCGAUAAGUAGUGUGAAUUGCAGAAUUCAGUGAAUCAUCGAAUCUU
rnacentral:misc_RNA from 1 species